rnacentral:rRNA from 1 species
UACGUAGGGUGCGAGCGUUGUCCGGAAUUAUUGGGCGUAAAGAGCUUGUAGGCGGUCUGUCGCGUCUGCUGUGAAAAUCCGGGGCUCAACCCCGGACUUGCAGUGGGUACGGGCAGACUAGAGUGUGGUAGGGGAGACUGGAAUUCCUGGUGUAGCGGUGAAAUGCGCAGAUAUCAGGAGGGAACACCGGUGGCGAAGGCGGUUCUCUGGGC